GUGCUCACUUUAGCACCACAUAUACUGAAAUUGGAAUGAUACAGAGAAGAUUAGCAUGGCCCCUGUGCAAGGAUGGCACCCAAAUUUGUGAAGUGUUCCAUAUUUAU
rnacentral:snRNA from 1 species